GAUGAACGCUAGCUACAGGCUUAACACAUGCAAGUCGAGGGGCAGCAUAUUUAUAGCAAUAUAAAUGAUGGCGACCGGCGCACGGGUGAGUAACACGUAUCCAACCUGCCGUUUACUCGGGGAUAGCCUUUCGAAAGAAAGAUUAAUACCCGAUGGUAUAUAUUGAUUUCAUGGUCUUUAUAUUAAAGAAUUUCGGUAAACGAUGGGGAUGCGUUCCAUUAGGCAGUUGGCGGGGUAACGGCCCACCAAACCUACGAUGGAUAGGGGUUCUGAGAGCAAGGUCCCCCACAUUGGAACUGAGACACGGUCCAAACUCCUACGGGAGGCAGCAGUGAGGAAUAUUGGUCAAUGGGCGUAGGCCUGAACCAGCCAAGUAGCGUGAAGGAUGACUGCCCUAUGGGUUGUAAACUUCUUUUAUAGGGGAAUAAAGUGGAGUAUGUAUACUCUUUUGUAUGUACCUUAUGAAUAAGGAUCGGCUAACUCCGUGCCAGCCGCCGCGGUAA
rnacentral:rRNA from 1 species